GAUGAACGCUAGCUACAGGCUUAACACAUGCAAGUCGAGGGGAAACGACAUCGAAAGCUUGCUUUUGAUGGGCGUCGACCGGCGCACGGGUGAGUAACGCGUAUCCAACCUGCCCACCACUUGGGGAUAACCUUGCGAAAGUAAGACUAAUACCCAAUGAUAUCUCUAGAAGACAUCUGAAAGAGAUUAAAGAUUUAUCGGUGAUGGAUGGGGAUGCGUCUGAUUAGCUUGUUGGCGGGGUAACGGCCCACCAAGGCAACGAUCAGUAGGUGUUCUGAGAGGAAGGUCCCCCACAUUGGAACUGAGACACGGUCCAAACGCCUACGGGAGGCAGCAGUGAGGAAUAUUAGUCAAUGGACGAGAGUCUGAACCAGCCAAGUAGCGUGCAGGAAGACGGCCCUAUGGGUUGUAAACUGCUUUUAUAAGGGAAUAAAGUGAGUCUCGGGAGACUUUUUGCAUGUACCUUAUGAAUAAGGACCGGCUAAUUCCGAG
rnacentral:rRNA from 1 species